UACUCAGAUGGCAGGACAAACCUGCAGAUUUUGGUGGAAGAGAUAAAGAAAAGUAGAGUUCUGGAUUCACAGUAUACUCCCUUCUCUUGCAUCCCACUCUGCAACCUCAGAAAUUCCUCUGGUGGAUUCAGCCUGUGCAGUUCAAGACUACAAAGACUGAAGAUAGGAUAAGCCACUCUUAGAGCCCUUUGUCUAAGAACCCGUGCAAGAGGAUGAGAAAUCUGAACCGCAGUUAAUCCCUUGUUCACUGGGGACCAGGGCUGUAUCCUGCUCCCAGGACCAGAUCCUCAAAGGUCAGCAAUGAUGCUCAGUAGGAGAGAAGUCCUGCAAUCUGUUGGUGCACAGAGCUUCCAUGAAUUCCAAAGGGAGUUCCAUGAACGUGGAUACUUAGCGGUUCCCUAGCAGGGUAGAGGAGGGAAAGCAACAUUGCUGUUUUAUCUAUUUUUUGUGGAUAAACAAAGCACAUGAGCCUUUGUCUCAGAUAUAUUUGAUACAUCUAGAGA